CCGGAGGAAGGUUCAGGGAUACAGUACCUGGGUGAGGCCUCGCUCCUCUGCAGACAUAGCAGUUAGACUUGUUAUGUUUAGUAGCAUUGUAUUUCAUCCAUUCAAGCCACAAGUUAGUGUCAGAGAAACCUGUCUCUACAGCCAUAGUAUCCUCAAAUAUGGGAUGACUACCAUGUCUUUUAAAGUCCUAAUGUGUGGUUUGAGGGGAUUAACAGUCAUGUGCGUGGCACCUACCCAUUCAGGUGAGUCAUAC